rnacentral:rRNA from 1 species
AGCGGCGAGUGAAGCGGCAAAAGCUCAAAUUUGAAAUCUGGCACUUUCAGUGUCCGAGUUGUAAUUUGAAGAAGGUAUCUUUGGGUCUGGCUCUUGUCUAUGUUUCUUGGAACAGAACGUCACAGAGGGUGAGAAUCCCGUGCGAUGAGAUGUCCCAGACCUAUGUAAAGUUCCUUCGAAGAGUCGAGUUGUUUGGGAAUGCAGCUCUAAGUGGGUGGUAAAUUCCAUCUAAAGCUAAAUAUUGGCGAGAGACCGAUAGCGAACAAGUACAGUGAUGGAAAGAUGAAAAGAACUUUGAAAAGAGAGUGAAAAAGUACGUGAAAUUGUUGAAAGGGAAGGGCUUGAGAUCAGACUUGGUAUUUUGUAUGUUACUCUCUCGGGGGUGGCCUCUACAGUUUACCGGGCCAGCAUCAGUUUGAGCGGUAGGAUAAGUGCAAAGAAAUGUGGCACUGCUUCGGUAGUGUGUUAUAGUCUUUGUCGAUACUGCCAGCUUAGACUGAGGACUGCGGCUUCGGCCUAGGAUGUUGGCAUAAUGAUCUU